AUGUUACUUGGAGUUGAUUUAAAUUUUUAUGAACCUGAUACCUCUGAAAGGCAAUAAUCAAAAUGAAACCAUGGUAAUUAUUUUCAUUUGAAAACAUCAGAAUGGGACCUCAUUACAUUCCGGAGCCCAGUAAAUUCUUGGCAAGUGAACAAUCAGUAGCUUGGUAUCACCGGAAUCUGCUGCAUUUGAAGGAUGAAACACAUAUUCUUAGAUGACUCAACAUAUGAGCCUUAAAAGAGAUUUCAGAAUCGGCUUCUUUAUUUACAAAUCAGAAAACGGAAGUCCAAAAGGGUAGAAUGUGUCCAAGGUCAUGCAGCCAGACAGACCUGGAUGGUUUCACUCCGCCAUACUAAAAGUGAAAUUGGGACAUGCUUAAAAAAAAAAAACUUUAAAAUAAUAUAAUUAUAAUGCAUGAUCAUUGUUGGAAAUGCAGAAAAGACAAGAGGCCAAAAAAGAUAAUAUAAAUCAACGAUUGAAGCUCACAUGUAGCCUCUGUAAUGAUUCUGGUGUAUGAGUAUUUUUUUCAGACUUUCCAUUUCCCCAUUUCGAGUGCUCUUUACGGUCUACCAGUAAGUUCUUAUUUUUUCCACUUUGCCACUUGUUCCAGCUAACCCAUGUCAUCCUUCCAUCCUCUCGUGGCUUUCUUGAAAUUACAGCUAAAGGACGUAGUUCAUAAGUUGACAAGUCUACGAACAGUCCCGCUUCAACGCAGCCCGUUGAAACAAUAUGCGAUUGGAAAAGGCGUUUUGGUACGGAGCAGGGGAGAAUGAAUGUGGGACCUGGAUGCUGAGUGAGGCCUGGAUUUUUGAUUGGUCAGCUAUGAGCCAAGCCAAGGGUAAACUCAAUCCACAUAUCAAGCAAUCAGAAGUGGAGAUCAGAAACCUGAAGCCCGUAGAGCUCUUAGGAAGGCAAUGGGGGAGAGUUUGGUAAAUCAGCUAGUGUUAAGGAAAGACAAAGCUGACUUUCAACAUUUAAAGAAGGCAUGGGCCCUGUAGUUCUGUAUACAAUCAUUGAUAAGCCUGUACACAUUGUUGCCUCACGAUUUCCCCGCGUCGCGACUUAUAAAUGUCCCUACAACUUUUGCUAGAAUUGAUUAAUUGCACCUUGUUAGAGCACUUGAUUUUUGUUAAAAGUGAAAAAUAGAGCCUAUUAAAUGAAAUGGCUGAGAUGUUCCUGAAAGCAGCCUAAUUCCUCUAAAACACACUUCGGGCCAUGAGUGACAAGCACAAGAAAGAGGAAGAGAAGUUACAAAGAGAAGCAAAAAAGAAGACGUGUGCUGCUCAGGCACCGUUGUUUUCCAAAGAUGUUAGAAUCUCAUUUCAAAAAGGAUCUCUGAUCAAAACAAUUUCUUAAUCGAAAACCACCGUCUUAAUUUGUCUUAUCGGUGGCCACUUUCAGCAGAAAUGUGCCUGUGGCUCUCUGUGCCCGGCCAGCGGCUGCUUUUUAUUAUGCAGAUUGGAUGGAGCGGCCUCCAUGAGCCAAUUCUGGGCACUGCAUUUGCAUAAUGACUCGCCUUCUUAAAGAUGGGCAGUUAAACCAAAUAGUUUUUGAAUUUCUUUUGUGGAAUGGCUGCCUCUUUAUUUAAUGUUGAAAACUGAAGGGAGUUGAGGAAGGGUACUGACUAAACAGGCUUUUUAAAUACUGCCUCCGUAAUUAUCUGUGGAAUUAAACCCACAGAACCCACAUUAACUCUCAUCAGAAAAUGGAAUUAUGAGAAUUCUUAUUAACAGCAGCUCCAGACUCAACUCACAGUAUUCACUGGAGUAAUUAUCACUGGGAAAGGCUGGGAUUAAGUUUUUUUUAAGCUGGAGAAAAUACAUUCUUAGCCAUUGACUGCCUUGGACAUGCAGGAGGAGACAAAGCAAUGUGAACUUUUAUUUUAGGGAGAAAAAAAUAAUUUUGAAAUGUAAUUUUGAUCUGAUUUCUGAGGGAAUUCUUAUGCAAGGCAUUUUGUAUGUAAAGGGAUUAUGUGUCACCAAUGCGAAACGAAAUACAAAAUAAACCAAAGAGCUGUGAAUGUCCUAAGUGCAGAAAAUAAUAUAUAAUUUAUGAUACUUUAAAUCUCAUUAAAAACACUAGCUUUUGUAGCUUCCUAGCAACCAAUCCUCAGGAGUCUCUCUGUAAAGAGGUUGGCUCUCCCCAAGCUCACGGUCCAAAGCUUUAAUAAAUGAAGCCCAUAUGGCGAGUAUAUGAGGGUU